UACCUCUCAGGGCCCUCAAGGCUUUUCCUGUGGCUUCUGACAGGUGCAGCCAACGACGACGACUUCUAAGCCAUUAAGCUCACGGCACUGGGGAGACCCCAGUUUCUGCUGCAGUUCUCAGACAGGCCGACCAAAUGGAGAUGCUUCUUUCACCAAAUGGCUGCAAAGCAAGGGCAAAUGGGCCUGGAUGCCAUGGUCACCAAGCUGGAGGUGGCAGUGCUGUAGGAAAGCGUCACAAAGAUGGGCAUCACAUCCAGGGCUGAGAUUGAGGACUGGUUCAUGGCAGAGACCCUGGGAGUGUCUUGCUGAGAACAGCCCCCAGGCUG